CCAAGCACCUGCCCAUCCCACUCCAUAGCCCAGCCACCCACUCUCAUGUACCAUAUGACCAUCCCAGUAAGCAAGCCAACCACUAGAAUUUGACUGGCAUGCACCUGUGACUUACAUAAACCAGACCUCUACAUAGCCUACAUGUCUUCAUUUUGCUGGAGACUGCCCAUCAUCCUAGCCUGUUAUCUGUGAUAAAGCACACUGAAGUUAGGUUUGGAAUGCAUCCUUAUCAUGAAUGCUCUACACCUCCACCUCCAUCUCCCACAACCUAGGUAACAGCUUUGAGACUCACUAAAAGUUGGUAAGUUAUGUAAGGAAUUUCUAAAUUAAGUUUUAUACUACAUGUUAUAUGUGAUAUUAAACCACUGUAUGGUGCAUAUUACUGUAUGUAACUUACUAUGCAUAGAGUACUUACUGACAUACUAAUUAUUUUUUGUACAUUCCAGAACCCCCUGAAUGAUGUAGGCUAUGGGGCCACAUAAGACUUUGUCCAUCCAGGGUUACGAUGAAUGCAAAAUAUAAACUAAAGAACCCCCUGAAUGAUGUAGGCUAUGGGGCCACAUAAGACUUUGUCCAUCCAGGGUUACGAUGAAUGCAAAAUUUAAACUAAAG